rnacentral:sRNA from 1 species
CCCAGGUGCCGUGGUGCAUACCUGUAAUCCCAGAAGCUUGGGAGGCUGAGGCAGGAGGAUCACAGUUUAAAGCCAGUCUCAGCAACUCAGUGAGACCCUGUCUCUA